GUCGAGAUGGCCGAUUGAUUAAGGCACUGGACUUGAAAUCCAAUGGGGUUCCCCCGCGCAGGUUCAAACCUUGCUCCCGACA
rnacentral:tRNA from 1 species